rnacentral:misc_RNA from 1 species
UCUCCGUUGGUGAACCAGCGGAGGGAUCAUUACAGGAGGUUAACACCCCCAAGACCACUGUGAACCUACCGGACACGUUGCCUCGGCGGGCGCCUCGCCCGCCGGCGGCCUGCUACUCUUGUCUCACGCGUUGGCAUCUCCGAGUCGAUUCUAACGAGUCAAAACUUUCAACAACGGAUCUCUUGGUUCUGGCAUCGAUGAAGAACGCAGC